AUUGAACGCUGGCGGCAUGCCUAACACAUGCAAGUCGAACGGCAGCACGAUGUGUAGCAAUACACAUGGGUGGCGAGUGGCGGACGGGUGAGUAGAAAGUAGGGNUCUGCCUUAUAGAUUGGGAUAACUUGGGGAAACUCGAGCUAAUACCGGAUAAAGCACUACGGUGGAAAGCAUGGGGACCGAAAGGCCAUGCGCUAUAAGAUGAACCUACGUCGGAUAGCUAGUUGGUUAGGUAAAGGCUGACCAAGGCGAAGAUCCGUAGCUGGUCUGAGAGGAUGAUCAGCCACACUGGGACUGAGACACGGCCCAGACUCC
rnacentral:rRNA from 1 species